UCUCUCUCUCUCGACAUUUGCCCCCUUUUUCUUUUGUUUUUGGUACCAAACCAACACAUUUUAACAACUCUGUUCUCUCUCUGAGUUGAAUCACAGAUUUGUAAGAGUUUGACCUCUUCGAUCUCUCAAUCAUGCCGAGCAUCAUCAGCAAUGAACUCAAGAUACCAAAUCCAUCAAGAUCAGCGACAUCAGAGCCAAUGGCGACUCCACUCUUCGGAAGCGAAGAUUGAGAUCCGAUUCGGCUGCAGAAGACGGAACAAAGUCUAAAUCUCCUCGUCGAUGCAUCAAUGGCGGCCUCAAUUGCACUGAAAAUGGAAUUAUUGAAAAAGAAUCGGGUGAUAAUAAGGUUGUCAAAUCUCGCGAAU